rnacentral:rRNA from 1 species
ACGAACGCUGGCGGCUGCUUAACACAUGCAAGUCGAACGGAGUGGCGAACGGGUGAGUAACGCGUGAGCAACCUGCCUAUGACAGUGGGAUAGCCCCGGGAAACCGGGAUUAAUACCGCAUAGUCAUAGAUGGGCUCGCGUCUGAUUAGCUAGUUGGUGAGAUAACAGCACACCAAGGCGACGAUCAGUAGCCGGUCUCAGAGGAUGAACGGACACAUUGGAACUGAGGCACUGUACAAAGUCCUACGGGAGGCAGCAGUGGGGAAUAUUGCACAAUGGGGGAAACGCUGAUGCAGCGACGCCGCGUGAACGAAUAAGGUAUUCGUAUCGUAAAGUUCUGUCCUAUGGGAAGCAGUACCAUAGAAAAAAGCUCCGGCUAAAUACGUGCCAGCAGCCGCGGUAAUUC